rnacentral:lncRNA from 1 species
GUUACCUGUCCAUGAUUUAAAGAUACCCAAGUAAGGCUCGUGUAAGCCUGCUUUGAAUGCCAGCAACGCCGCCCUAUCCGACGGCGGACAUGCAUUCACCGUUACACCGACGCUCAAUAAUAAUGCAGCUCCGAUCACCCAUACGAAGGUACCCAUUUCUGUCUUAAUUAUUUCACUCUUUACAUACACUCUAGAUCUACUUCUCUAUAUAUGCAUGUUUUUCUGGUGUGAAAAACGACAAGGUACGUGCAUGUGAGGUGGGGUAAUGAGAGUUGCACACUUAAAUUGGAUAUAUUUAUGACGAUAAUUAAAAAAAAAUUAAAGACUAAGAAACAGACAAACGUAUUCCCUGUAGCAUGCACUUGGAAAAUAAUAAGAAAUUUGUUCUUAAAAUUGAUUAAAAUUAUUCUCUUCUCCAUAAAUUUAAAUUGAUUAUGCCUAGAAUAUAAUUUAUAAACUAUGCAUGACGGAUAAAUAUGAAUAUCUUAUGAGGACAGGGAUUGCUAUCAUGCUAGAUACAAAAAGAUUGCGGUGGCCACUAUAUGAUAUCGCAAGUACUAUGGCAGAAUUAUUAUGUUUAGAACUUAAAUGUGACUAACAGCGACACACACACUACACCUUUCUUUUAUAUAUAUAUAUAUAUAUAUAUAUAUAUAUAUAUAUAUAUAUAUAUAUUAUUACCNUAUAUAGAGAGAGAGAGAGAGAGAGAGAGAGAGAGAGAGAGAAAGAGAGAGAGUUGAAAACUCAUAGUUUCCCGAGAACUCGAAAACUAUAAGUGGAACGUUAGAUAAAAAAAGGAACAACCAAGAUACAUUGUAAUUUUUUUAUAAAUAAAUGGAAAAACAAAGGGACGAUGGUACAUUAAUAAAAUAAUAUUGGGGGUAUUUUAGAGAUCUAGAAAAUGUACCAUGGAAUAAACUGAUCGGAACCCUUUUUCAUGUCACAAUAGCAUUUCCGAUUUCUGAUUAUGUACCUCUGGCGGACGGACGAGCUCUCUGUAUACCAUACACGACCACCGACGAUUGAUCUCCGCCUCAUCUCUGAUGACUCAUUUUACAUCACCUCCUUAUCUCCGACGAGAUCAAAGAAUUUAUCUGGUUGACAGUUACAGAUUCUCCGAAGAUGAGAUCAAAGUCCUAAUCGACGGAGACAAUUCCUAUACCCAGCUUACCGGCCGUAUCAUCCGCCAAUUACUUGAUGAACUCGUCCAAUCGUCGGAGCCUGGUGACUUCCUCGUCGUUCAUUACAACGGACAUGACACUCGCCUUCCUGCCGAAACCAGUGACGAUGAUGAUACUGGAUAUGAGGAGUGUAUCGUUCCAAACGACUUCAACCUAAUUAACAGUAUGAUACUUGCUUCGAUUAAUGUUCUUGUGGUUGAUUAGAAUUUUAUCUUUGUUUUACUGAAUUAUUGUAACAUCCUGAAAUAUCAAGGGUAGAGUUGAAGGGCUAAAAGAGUAAAUGAUCAAGGGAACUCGGCGAGUCCAUGGGUGGUACUCGGCGAGUAGAGUCGCGACUUGGUCGCGUGUUAAGUGGCCGACUCAGCGAGUCAGUAAGGUGGACUCGGCGAGUAGGCACUGAGUGGAGAAAACCCUAAUUCUCGGGGUUGAUCCCUAUAUAAAGAACAUAACAUCCAUCCCUCAGCCUCUUUACUCAUCCUCAAGUCCAGAAACCCUUAGCCUUCGUGUGUGAGUGAUCAUAUUGCAUUUGGAAGCUUGGAGAAGCAAUUGUUGAGGAAAUCUUGAAGGGUAGGAGGCUUGGAGCAAGGGGCUUUGCUUGGAUUGGAGUUCCAUUGCAGUUGGGGCGUUCUUUUGAGGUAAUAUCUCGUCCUUGGGCUGUUACUCUUAUGGAUUCAUCAUUUUGGGGUUUGUGGGGAGCUUAUCUUGGGAUGUUUUGGGGUUUGGAGGUUAGAUCUGAGGUUGCUACCUCAGAUCUGGAAGGGAGAAGGUCUAGAGUGCAGGAAAGUCCCUGUUUGUGAGUGGUUGAUGGAGCCAUCUUGUCCCAAAUCUAAACCCUAGAGUGAAAAUGCAUAGAUCUCUUUGGAUUCACGUAAAGUUUGCCACUUUACGUGAUGGAUGGGUUGUAGGAGGCUAGAUCUAUGUUUUGGAUCAAUUUUAUGGCCUGGAGUGCUUCUGUAUGGAUUCAGACCGGUGGUACUCGACGAGUCACAUGGGUAGACUCGACGAGUUGCUUGAAGAUGAGCUGGAACUCGACGAGUUGGAAGAACAACUCGGCGAGUUGGAUGAAGAUGGCCUGGAACUCGGCGAGUUGUAUGAACAACUCGGCGAGUAGGUUGAAGAUAGCCUUAGACUCGGCGAGUCUGUUCUUGGACUCGGCGAGUCUUGUCGAAGAGUCCCAAUAUUUUCUGGUUGAGUCGAGAAUCGGCGAGUCAAGGGAUGACUCGGUGAGUUGUGGGCGAGUGGACUCAGAGUUGUUGGACUCGGCGAGUCUCGGGGUGACUCGGCGAGUUAGGUCGCGGAUUGAGGGAAGUUCUGAGUAUGGGGACUCGGCGAGUCAUCGGGUUGACUCGGCGAGUAGAGUCAGUCAGGGGUUGACUUUGACCUUGUCCAAAGGUUGACCAGUUGUCUUCCAGGGGUAUUUUGGUAAUUAAGGGUAUUUAUUGAGUUGAGUGUGUUGGUGUUCAGUGGAGGAGUUCGUGUCGGAGCUUGGAGCAGCGGGAUCUUAUCCUUUCAGCCGGCAGUUUCGAGGUGAGUUAUCCUCACUAUAUCAACAGGGUCUAAGGCACCAAGGCCGGCCCUUAUCGGAUUGAGAUCCGGGUAGUUGUUGUUAUGUUGCUGCUUUGAUAUGUUUGCAUCCUGUGAGUUAGGAUGGUAUAUGUUAGAGACCUGAUUGAGAUCGGUAUCCUGAGAGAUAGGGAGAUGCUAUGCUAGUGACCUGUUAGGUCGGUAUCCUGGUUAGGAUGAUGAUAUGNNNNNNNNNNNNNNNNNNNNNNNNNNNNNNNNNNNNNNNNNNNNNNNNNNNNNNNNNNNNNNNNNNNNNNNNNNNNNNNNNNNNNNNNNNNNNNNNNNNNNNNNNNNNNNNNNNNNNNNNNNNNNNNNNNNNNNNNNNNNNNNNNNNNNNNNNNNNNNNNNNNNNNNNNNNNNNNNNNNNNNNNNNNNNNNNNNNNNNNNNNGAAAGGGCGGACCAGACGUGCCGAAGGCUCGGAGAGUGGACCAGAUAGACUGAAGGCCCGGUGCGGGCGGACCAGUCAUACUGUAGACUCAGAGAGUGGACCAGGUGGAUUGAAGGCCCGGGAGCGGGCGGACCAAUCACACUGCAGACUCGAUGUAUGUGGAUAGACUCAGAGGGUGGACCAGGUGGACUGUAGGCCGGUGCGGCGGACCAGUCACACAGUAGACCCGAAGUGCAUUGCUGUUCUGUGAUCGGAUAUGUUAUGGCAUGUUAUGCGUGUAUGGUAUAUGUGGUUGGUAUUUUGGGGAUAUCUCACUACGAUUUCGGGCUUACAGUUGUGGUGUUAUGUUUUCAGGUUCUUCAGGAGACCGUGGCAAGGUGAAGGCAUGAUCGUACCGCUCCUCAUGAUUUUGUAGUAAUGUGAUUCUGGGAAUACUCUAAAUGAUGUGUAUUGAAAACCCUUUUUGUAAUAAUUUAAUGGAAUCGGGUUGUUUUUGAAAAAUUUAAAUUUGUUGGAUUUUUCGGUCGUUACAAGUUGGUAUCAGAGCCUUGGUUUGAGUGAAUUGGAGAAACACUAGUGUGACUCCAGUCUCAAAUCGAGGAGAGUUUUUCAAAAGAGAGUUUAAAAUGGUUUUCAAAAUGAGUAAAGGAGGACGCGGAGGUACGAUCAGCCGGAGCCAGUAAGUAACCCCAAAAUACCAUGCAUGUUAAUUGUUUUUGAGCUUUGAUAGAACAGCAUGCUAGUGAUAGGCUAGGGAUCUUCAGGAUUUCAUGAUAUGUUGCCUGAUUUGUGAUGCCUGUAGCCUAGGGUUCCUUAUGGGAUAUUUUCAGUGUUCCUCUAGUGGUGAGGGUUGAGCGUUGUUAUGCAUGUUUCUCUAGGGCGUUGUGGUAGUACUUCAUACAAAUAUGGGUAGGUGUGGAAGGUAGUAUGGGCCCGUACUACUGAAAGCACAGGACCCAUACGCGUAUCAGGGAAACCAUGAUCUCUAGGGUUGGGUUGAGAGAGUUGGAUCCCAGGUUUGUGGGAAGAGUCUGAGAUUUUGUGUGGUGUUUUUCAGUAUGGAGAUUCCGAGGCAUGAUGAGAGUGGAUCCGGGUCAGGAUCGGGAGCUGGAGAGAGAGUUCCGGGCGGAUCGGUGCCGCCCGAGGUUAUCGGUCAGAUGAGCACGAGCGAGUUGGAUGCGAGGAUUCGUGAGAUCCUGCGUGAUGAGAUUGCUGAGUUGUUCCGGGCUGAGUUGCCAGAGCUGUUUGGGUCGAUUAAGACCGCCAUGGUUGAGUAUUUUGAUGAGCGCUAUGCAGCUCUCACUGAGACGGCUGCCGCGGCGGCUACAACGGCUGUAGCAGCGGCAGGGGGAGGAGCUAGUCGGGGUUUUCAGUAUCGGGACUUCGAUAAUACGAAGCCUCCCACAUUCGAUGGAGUUCAGGACCCGAUUGUUGCUAUGAGGUGGUUAUCAGACGUGGAGGGGUGUUUCUUCACGUGUUCAUGCCCUGCUGAUCAGAGGGUGAGGUGUGCUCUGAACCUGUUGAGGCUCGGGGCGAAGGAUUGGUGGAGAUUGACCACGGGGUCAUAUUCGGAUGCGCAGAGGGCUGCGGUUUCAUGGGAUCAGUUCAGAGAAAUGUUCAGCACUCGUUAUGUUCCGCAAGUUGAGAGGGAGAGAUUGGCUCAGGAGUUCCUUGAGCUGAAGCAGGGUUCGGAGUCGGUGACUGAGAUCACCAGGAUGUUCACUGAGAGGGCGAUGUUUUGCCCAGAGUUCGCUUCGGAGCAGGCUCAGAUGUCUCGAUAUCUGAGCAUGCUCAAGAGGGACAUCAGACAGUUUGUGUCUGCGCAGAGGUGCGAGACCUUGUUGGAGUUGCAGGAGGCCGCUAGGCGGCGUGAGUUAGAGAUUGAGUUGCAGUUGCGUGAGCUGAGGCAGGCUCCGGUGCAGUCGCAGCCGGCGCCGAAACGGUCCAAGACCGUUGAUGUUAGAGUAGGGGAUCUGAGCAGCCAUACUUGUGGGAAGUGUGGGAGGGGUCGCACCGGAGUUUGUAGGUCCGGUGGUGCAUGCCGCAAGUACGGAAAGGAGGGGCACUAUGCGAGGGAUUGUCGGCAGUCAGCGCCGGUUCGGGAUUUGAGGAUUUGUUAUCAUUGUCAUCAGGUUGGACAUUUGAGGGUCAACUGUCCACAGCUUGCUGCAGGACCGGUGCAGGCUCCAGCACCGGCCACUUUGAGGAUCACAGGUGGAGGUCAGGGUGGAGCAGAGCCCCCAAGGGCUCAGGGUCGUGCUUUUCAGCUUGUAGCAGAGGAGGUCAGGGCAGUGCCGGAUGCAGCUGCGGGUAUGUUUCUUUCUUGAUGUCUUAUUAUCUUGUGAUUUUGUGGUGUAUUGUUUUGUGCUGGUAUCUUUGUGGUUUUUGAUGCGGUAUUCGUCGUUUUUGGAGGGUUGUGGUUUGGUUAUCAUUCAUGAGGGUUAUUAGUGGAAACUUGGCAUUGGUUUGAAGGUCGGGUAGCAUCUGCUUCUGAGGUGUGGCUAGAUGCAGAUUGAGUUUCUUUCGAGCGGGUUAAUCGGUGUUGAUGUGAGAUCUUGUUAAGGUUGUUUAUGCUUGUGGGAAGCAGUCCGCGUGUAAGUGGUUGUUUUGUUCAGGGUUGUUUUGGGUGGUCGGUAUUGGCGACCGAUGUUUGAUAGUCAGUGCUACAAGUGGGGGAGAAUUGGAAAAUUCUCCGGGAAAUCGAUGGGUAUUUGAGGUUGCUUAGUUGUUGGGAUUCAGCAGUGUUCUGUCAGCCUAGAGUAUAGGCUGGUACGAGUAAGUGGCAGGCAUGCAGGGCGGGAUACAGACCUAGGGCAUUCGAUUGUGGAGGGCCUGGGAGCAGGCCGAGAUCGAGCAUGUGUGAUUGAGUCAGAGUUCGGAACCCUUAAAGGGCUAGAACAGUAUGCAUGGGAGGAUUUCCGGGAGAGAUAGCUCAGAAUGAUGAAUGUUGGCUGAGCGGUCCGGAUAGACUGAAGGUCGGUGGGCGUACCAGUCAAGCCGAAGGUUCAAGUCGGAAAACGGUCCAGCCAGGCUGAAGGCCCAAGAGGGCGGUCUAGAUUGGCUGAAGGUUCUGAGAGUGGUCCAGAUUGGCUGAAGGCCUGGUGAGGCGGUCCAGUCAUGUUGGAGACUCUGCAGGUAUUGUUAGUCCGGUUGAGGAGUUGGAUUGAGUAUGUUGCGAUGUGUUAGCAUCAGAAGGUCUGGCCCCGGGUAUUGAUCUUAAUUAGUGGAGAUGGUGCAUGGACUCGAGAGUCCUUGCGAGCAGAUUUAGAGCAUGUGUGUUGCACAGAUAGUGGUUAUGCUAUAAAGGGGUGGUGCAGCGUUAGGUGAGCACCGUGGCACUUGUCGUGGUGACAAGGCAGCCAAGUGGAUUUCCUUGGUAAGGAAAGAAAGAGAGGAGUGUAGCUCCGAGAGGGAGUGCAAGUUCACGGAAGUGAAAGCGGCAAAGCAGAGUUAUGAUUAGAGUGAUCCGAGCAUGGUCAUUGAGCAACGUGUUUGCGGAAGUGGAAUGGAAACACAUCCGGUUUGGGAUGUCUGUUGAGGUCGCAGAAGGAAUUCCGCGGGUGCAGAGCCAAGAGGCACGUAAGGGAUGCAGAGAGGGAGUCUUGGGCUCUCAGUGUGAUUCUGAUCAGGGAAUUGUGUACGUAGUAGUGGUUCAUCCUGGGGGAUGUUUGGAGAUAUCAUCAGUGUAUCGGGUUUUCCCAACCUGAGGGUGCUAGAGCUAGUUCAGCAUGUGUAUGUGAUUGCAAGAGGAGAACUCAUGGGAGUUGCUCUGAAGAAUGUGUCUUUCUGUCAGCAGAAUGAUUAGAGUUGGACUUGGAUCGGGAAUCCAGUGGUGCAUGGUUAUCUUCUAGCUCAUAUGGGUCGAGUGAUGGUUGUGAUUUGGAGCAGUGUUGCAUCGUGAGUAGUACUCAGUGGUUAAGUGGGGUUAUCAGAGGGUAAAGUCGGUGGCUGGCUUGAGUCGGUGGUUAGGACACCGUAAGAAAAGAGAAAUUGAGCUUCUGGUUUCUAUGGUUGUGUUUUGAGGAACCUGGUUGGGUUAAUGCCAGGUGGUGCGUGGCGGGAGUAUUUCUAGAGUUGAGUUGUUGUAGGCUUCGAGGACGAAACCUAAUUUAAGUGGGGGAGAAUUGUAACAUCCCGAAAUAUCAAGGGUAGAGUUGAAGGGCUAAAAGAGUAAAUGAUCAAGGGAACUCGGCGAGUCCAUGGGUGGUACUCGGCGAGUAGAGUCGCGACUUGGUCGCGUGUUAAGUGGCCGACUCGGCGAGUCAGUAAGGUGGACUCGGCGAGUAGGCACUGAGUGGAGAAAACCCUAAUUCUCGGGGUUGAUCCCUAUAUAAAGAACAUAACAUCCAUCCCUCAGCCUCUUUACUCAUCCUCAAGUCCAGAAACCCUUAGCCUUCGUGUGUGAGUGAUCAUAUUGCAUUUGGAAGCUUGGAGAAGCAAUUGUUGAGGAAAUCUUGAAGGGUAGGAGGCUUGGAGCAAGGGGCUUUGCUUGGAUUGGAGUUCCAUUGCAGUUGGGGCGUUCUUUUGAGGUAAUAUCUCGUCCUUGGGCUGUUACUCUUAUGGAUUCAUCAUUUUGGGGUUUGUGGGGAGCUUAUCUUGGGAUGUUUUGGGGUUUGGAGGUUAGAUCUGAGGUUGCUACCUCAGAUCUGGAAGGGAGAAGGUCUAGAGUGCAGGAAAGUCCCUGUUUGUGAGUGGUUGAUGGAGCCAUCUUGUCCCAAACCCAAACCCUAGAGUGAAAAUGCAUAGAUCUCUUUGGAUUCACGUAAAGUUUGCCACUUUACGUGAUGGAUGGGUUGUAGGAGGCUAGAUCUAUGUUUUGGAUCAAUUGCAUGGCCUGGAGUGUUUCUAUAUGGAUUCAGACCGGUGGUACUCGACAAGUCACAUGGGUAGACUCGACGAGUUGCUUGAAGAUGAGCUGGAACUCGACGAGUUGGAAGAACAACUCGAUGAGUUGGAUGAAGAUGGCCUGGAACUCGGCGAGUUGUAUGAACAACUCGACGAGUAGGUUGAAGAUAGCCUUAGACUCGGCGAGUCUGUUCUUGGACUCGGCGAGUCUUGUCGAAGAGUCCCGAUAUUCUCUGGUUGAGUCGAGAAUCGGUGAGUCAAGGGAUGACUCGGUGAGUUGUGUGCGAGUGGACUCAGAGUUGUUGGACUCGGCGAGUCUCGGGGUGACUCGGCAAGUUAGGUCUCAGAUUGAGGGAAGUUCUGAGCAUGGGGACUCGGCGAGUCAUCGGGUGGACUUGGCGAGUAGAGUCAGUCAGGGGUUGAAUUUGACCGAGGGUUGACCAGUUGUCUUCUAAGGGUAUUUUGGUAAUUGUGGGUAUUUAUUGAGUUCAGUGCUUUGUUGUUGUUCAAUGGAGGAGUUCGUGUCGGAGUUUGGAGUAACGGGAUCUUAUCCUUUUAGACGGCAGUUUCGAGGUGAGUUAUCCUCACUAUAUAUACAGGGUCUAAGGCACCAAGGCCGGCCCUUUAUCGGAUUGAGAUCCGGGUAUUUGUUGUAUGUUAUUGCUUUGAUAUAUUGCACUCUGGUAGCUAGGAUGGUAUAUGUUAGAGACCUCAUUGAGAUCGGUAUCCUGAGAGAUAGGGUGAUGCUAUGCUAGUGACCGGUUAGGUCGGUAUCCUGGUUAGGAUGAUGAUAUGUUAUGUGAUCUGUUUGAUCUGCUUGUUGACUGUGAAUUGCUAUAUGAUUGUAUGUAUAUGUGCACAUGGUUGUUUGGACUGGAGUUGGGUUGAGGCGGGUCCUGCUUUGUGCUGUAGGCCAAGAUACCCAGGGCGGACCGGUUGUUCCGAAGGCCCAGCGAGCGGUCCGGAUAGGCUGUAGGCCCCAAGAGGGCGGACCAGACGUGCCGAGGCUCGGAGAGUGGACCAGGCCGACUGAAGGCCCGGUGCGGGCGGACCAGUCAUACUGUAGACUCAGAGAGUGGACCAGGUGGAUUGAAGGCCCGGUGCGGGCGGACCAAUCACACUGCAGACUCGAUGUAUGUGGUUAGAUUCGGAGAGUGGACCAGGUGGAUUGAAGGCCCGGUGCGGGCGGACCAAUCACACUGUAGACUCGAGGUAUAUGGCUAGACUCGGAGGGUGGACCAGGUGGACUGUUGGCCGGUGCGGCGGACCAGUCACAUAGUAGACCCGAAGUGCAUGGCUGUUCUGUGAUCGGAUAUGUUAUGGCAUGUUAUGCGUGUAUGGUAUAUGUGGUUGGUAUUUUGGGGAUAUCUCACUAAGCUUUCAGGCUUACAGUUGUGGUUUUAUGUUUUCAGGUUCUUCAGGAGACCGUGGCCAAGCGAAGGCAUGAUCGUACCGCUCCUCAUGAUUUUGUAGUAAUGUGAUUCUGGG